rnacentral:rRNA from 1 species
AUUGAACGCUGGCGGCAUGCCUUAAACAUGCAAGUCGAACGGUAACAGGUCUUCGGAUGCUGACGAGUGGCGAACGGGUGAGUAAUACAUCGGAACGUACCCGAUCGUGGGGGAUAACGAAGCGAAAGCUUUGCUAAUACCGCAUAAGAUCUACGGAUGAAAGCAGGGGACCGCAAGGCCUUGCGCGAACGGAGCGGCCGAUGGCAGAUUAGGUAGUUGGUGGGAUAAAAGCUUACCAAGCCGACGAUCUGUAGCUGGUCUGAGAGGACGACCAGCCACACUGGGACUGAGACACGGCCCAGACUCCUACGGGAGGCAGCAGUGGGGAAUUUUGGACAAUGGGCGAAAGCCUGAUCCAGCCAUGCCGCGUGCAGGAUGAAGGCCUUCGGGUUGUAAACUGCUUUUGUACGGAACGAAAAGACUCUUUCUAAUAAAGAGGGUCCAUGACGGUACCGUAAGAAUAAGCACCGGCUAACUACGUGCCAGCCGCCGCGGUAA